rnacentral:sRNA from 1 species
UUUUCGGAAAAUCUUGUUUCGCAAGGCUAUUAAGUAAUUCUGUCAUAUACUUUUCUGAAUUG